UGCCUUUUGGUAAAAAGACUUUUGUUUCCUACCAUACUUUGGUUGAGUGCCUCCCCGUGGGAGUUUGGUUGAUACUAGUUUGGUUUCCUUUGUGGUUAUUAACUAUGUUUUCCAAAGAAAGGUAUUGGACACUAAGUAUCUUGAAAUAGUACAUUUAAGGUAGUGAAUUCACACCCAUCUUGUCGUUGUGUGCAGGAGCUGCUGGACAUUGAGGAGAUUAGGAUAUUAAUAAAUGGUCAUUGUUGUUUGUACCUAUUUAGAACAUUGCUGUCCACCCCAACAAAUGUAAAGUUGCUCCAACCUGUGAACACCAGAGAUAAAAGUGGACUACAAUACGUGUUCUGGAUUAAUUUCAAGAAGGCUGUCAGUGAAUAAAGAUUAUAAAGUUCAAUCAGUUGAAACCAUGUCCUGACAUCCAAGAGGAAGAGCGAAGGCAUCGAUAUCCGAACCACACUAAUGUGCUCUCGGAGACUGGAUUCAGGGAUGGAUCAAAUUUGGAAAACCUUGUGGAAAAACAAGCAGACCUCAUUGACUACUUAAAAAUGCACAAUGUGGAAUUAAGUAAAAGACUGCUGACUUUAAUUUCCCAGCAAGUCCGAGGCUGAGGUUUUGAAAGAGACACUAAACAUUGUGAUAAACCAAAGAAUAAAGAAAGGCACAGCUUGAGCUGAAGACGUCAAAACUGGCAUAACCAUUUUAAAGAAGUGUGACUAUGAAAUGUAAUUUAAUAAAUGGGUAAAGUUAUCUUCAGAAUUUAACUUUUUGUAUUACUGAGAUUAUAUUAGGAGAGAACAUUUGCUACAAGCAUGAGUAAUUUGUUUUUCCAUUUUGACACAACGUUCUUCAAAUCAAUCAUGCAGCAAAAUUAUCUUUUUGACUUGUGCCAAAAACUUCAAUUGUGAAUUGUGAUCUCGGACAAUUGUAUCUGCUGUGUAAGUAGAGGUUUUUCUUGCCUUUGUAAUCUUGACAUUCACUUCUUUGUUAUUGAUGAUGUGAAUAUUUUGAAUGACUUUUUAAAAUCUUGUUCAAGAUAUGAAUAUGUGUAUAAAAUGUACUUUUCAAGUUGCUUUUGAGUACUCUGCUGGCUAUUCUAGAUUUAGGUUAGAUCUAUAUGCUGGUUACUUUGCAGAAAUGCAACUGAAAAUGUACAAGACUUUACUAUCCUGUAAUAUUUGAAUUUUGAGUUGUUGUAUAAUAUGCAUUGGAAAUGUAAAUAAAUAAUUGUACAAUAAAUUUUUCACAACCCA